GAUGAACGCUGGCGGCGUGCCUAAUACAUGCAAGUCGAACGAAUUCUAAGUAUUUAGUAUUCGGUAUAAAGUAUUCAGCAUUUGUCCGAAUACCCUCUACUGUAUACUGGAUACUCGAGUUAGUGGCGGACGGGUGAGUAACACGUUAGUACCUGCCCUUUAGUGGGGGAUAACUGGCCGAAAGGUCAGCUAAUACCGCAUGUGAUCCGCCUCUGGCGGAUUAAAGACCUCGGCGCUAAAGGAGGGGCUUGCGUCUGAUUAGCUUGUUGGUAGGGUAAUGGCCUACCAAGGCGACGAUCAGUAGCUGGUUCGAGAGGAUGACCAGCCACACUGGGACUGAGAUACGGCCCAGA
rnacentral:rRNA from 1 species